rnacentral:rRNA from 1 species
UACGUAGGGUGCAAGCGUUGUCCGGAAUUAUUGGGCCUAAAGCAUCCGUAGCCGGUUCUACAAGUCUUCCGUUAAAUCCAACUGCUUAACAGGUGGGCUGCGGAAGAUACUAUAGAGCUAGGAGGCGGGAGAGGCAAGCGGUACUCGAUGGGUAGGGGUAAAAUCCGUUGAUCCAUUGAAGACCACCAGUGGCGAAGGCGGCUUGCCAGAACGCGCUCGACGGUGAGGGAUGAAAGCUGGGGGAGCAAACCGG